ACUGAAUUGUCCAGUUGUGAGUGUGAAUGGUUGUAUGUCUAUAAUGUAUUUGCCGUGCGACUGGCUGGCAACCAGUCAAGGGUCUAUCCUUGACUGGUUGCCAAUGGUCGGCCAAUGACCAAAAGGGCCAGACCAACUGAGCCACAGCUACCCAGUCAUGUGAAUGUAUCCGCAUAGCUUCACAUUUCCGUUUUUCUGUGAGGACUUGUUUGAGAAGCUUUCUUGUCUACGUGUCGAGAUUUCCAGGUCAUCGUCUCUGUCUGUCAUGUUGGUAGCCGACCGACUGUGUGGUCUAUUUUGUGUUGUGUGAUGCGACA